GAUAAUUUUUGAUAAAAAAAAACAUUAGUAAAAUUAUUUUGUAAUUUUGUAAUUUUGUAAUUAAACGACUAAUUACUUUAAAUUUUGACUUCAUCUGUUGGACCCUCCCUGCAAUUUUAUUCAUCUUUGUGUUCAUACUUUGUGAAUAUUUCAUCUACUAUGUACAUCAUUCUGUAUCAAUGUUCGUGCCCUGUUCUGAAGAAACCCUUUGAAAAUGUCUCCUUGGACGAAUUGUCACAUAAAAAUAUCUUGCAAGCAGCCCUGAUAGCCGAUGUCCACGUACUGGGUACUUGAAAAGGGCACUAAUGGUUCGAUAAAUUGCAAAAACAACCAUUUCCUGAUCUACGUAAAACGAUUGCUGAAAUCAACCUAAUCCUAGCUUCUCCAUGGCGCUUUUCACUGCAGAGAAAUGAGUGAUUUCUAAAUGUCACAUGUCCAACGAAUACAGAAUACUUCGUUUAGAGGGUUGCGCGUAAUUACUGCGAUAAUUAACGUUCUGUUUCCUUACUAUGCCCUAAAAUUUUAUGUCAAGAAAUUGGGAGCCAAAAUCCAGAAACAAAAAUGAAACUGACGUUCGUUUUUACCACGGUUAUUAUUCAUCUAGUCUUUUACACCAGUGUACUACUAGGUACAUAGCUAUAAGUACAUAUGAUUUUGUUUCAUGAGACUGAGUAGUAAAAAUAUUAUUCAAAGGUACUUAGUUGGACAUCCUUCAUCCCCCUUGUUCUAGUGUUUUCAAAAUUCAAUUGAAUAUAAUUAUUUGUUUGAAAUACGGAAUUUGGUACGUCAUUUAUCUAAUAAUUAUGCAUUCCAAAGUAUUUUUCAAGUUCAGUUUAUAUUUUCAAAGGUUCAUUUUAAUAAAACUAUUUGUGUAGAA